rnacentral:sRNA from 1 species
CGAGGAUGAGAACCUCCGGGGGCAAGAGGUUCGACUCGAGCGCAGCGAGAGAACGUUGCGUCAGCAACGGCCCGCAGGGCGAGCCACGCAGUGGCGAGUCAUCCUCUAUCACCGACCA